rnacentral:rRNA from 1 species
GACGAACGCUGGCGGCGUGCUUAACACAUGCAAGUCGAACGGUAAGGCCCUUCGGGGUACACGAGUGGCGAACGGGUGAGUAACACGUGGGUGAUCUGCCCUGCACUUCGGGAUAAGCCUGGGAAACUGGGUCUAAUACCGGAUAGGACUCCGGACUGCAUGGUCUGGGGUGGAAAGCUUUUGCGGUGUGGGAUGGCCCGCGGCCUAUCAGCUUGUUGGUGGGGUGAUGGCGUACCAAGGCGACUACGGGGAGCCGGCCUGAGAGGGUGACCGACCAAACGGGGACUGCGAUACGGCCCAGACUGCUACGGGAGGCAGCAGUGGGGAAUAUUGCGCAAUGGGCGCAAGCCUGAUGCAGCGACGCCGCGUGAGGGAUGACGGCCUUCGGGUUGUAAACCUCUUUCAGCAUCGACGAAGCGAAAGUGACGGUAGGUGCAGAAGAAGGACCGGCCAACUACGUGCCAGCCGCCGCCGUAA